ACUUAGUGAAUAAAUCCCUAUGUGAAUGACUUACUGUGUGCUGUACAGUUUGCUGAAAAUUUCACACCAUUGUUAUGAGUCCACGUUAAUUUGCAUGAAGCUGGCCUGGGGUCACCAUUUAGGAUAAGGGACUGGUGAUCCCAUUGGACGUGAAGUUUCUUUUUUAUGUAUAUUGUCUGGUUCUUUAUGAAAGUCAAUGCUCCAGGCGGGCUGAGACAGUGCACAUUGUAUUUAAAAAAUGACUUAUUCAUAU